rnacentral:rRNA from 1 species
UCGAGAAUUUUUCACAAUGGGCGCAAGCCUGAUGGAGCGACGCCGCGUGGGGGAUGAAUGGCUUCGGCCCGUAAACCCCUGUCAUUUGCGAUCAACCGUUAUUAUUUAAAAGAUGAUAACCUGAUAGUAGCGAAAGAGGAAGGGACGGCUAACUCUGUGCCAGCAGCCGCGGUAAUACAGAGGUCCCAAGCGUUGUUCGGAUUUACUGGGCGUAAAGGGUGCGUAGGUGGCGGUGUAAGUCGGAUGUGAAAUCUCCGAGCUCAACUCGGAAACUGCAUUGGAAACUACAGUGCUCGAGGGUUGGAGGGGGGACUGGAAUACUUGGUGUAGCAGUGAAAUGCGUAGAUAUCAAGUGGAACACCAGUGGCGAAGGCGAGUCCCUGGACAACUCCUGACACUGAAGCACGAAAGCUAGGGGAGCAAACAG